rnacentral:rRNA from 1 species
GAUUUAAUAAUUAAAGGGCUGCAGUAUAUUGACUGUACAAAGGUAGCAUAAUCAAUAGUCUUUUAAUUGAAGACUUGUAUGAAAGAUUUGAUGAAAUAUAAACUGUCUCUAAAUUAUUUAUAGAAAUUAAUUUUUUAAUUAAAAAGUUAAAAUAAAUUAAAAAGACGAGAAGACCCUAUAGAGUUUUAUAAUAAUAAAUUUUUUUUUUAAAUAUAAAAAUAAUAAAUUAAAAGGUUUAUUAUUAUUUUAUUGGGGUGAUAGAAAAAUUAAAAUAACUUUUUUUAAUAAAAAUACAUGAAUAAGUGAAUAAAUGAUCCAUAAUUAAUGAUUAUAAGAAAAAAUUACCUUAGGGAUAACAGCGUAAUUUUUUUUUUU